CAGGCGUAGUAGCAGGCACCUGUAAUCCCAGCUACUUGGGAGGCUGAGACAGGAGAAUUGCUUGAACCAGGGAGGUGGAGGUUGCAGUGAGCUGAGAUGGCACCAUUGCACUCCAGCCUGGGCAAUGGAGCGAGACUCCAUCUAAAAAAAAAAAGAAAAAAACCACUGGAAGAUUGCAGACCUCCAGGAAGGGCAUGGAGUGGGCGUCAAAUAUACAAGUCCAGAGUCCAGAGAGAUCCAGGCUGGAGUCAUCAACUCUGAGUCAUCAACACCUGCAAUUGCUUGAGGUGAGGAAACUGAGCACGGAGUGGCCACAAGGCUGAAGACAAAGAUCUAUACCCGGGUCAUCUAACUCCAGAGGGGGUGGGGGAGGCACAUGGUGUUUGUAAACCUCCCUUAUUUCUGAACACUUAUUUCUAUUUUCUAGUUGUUGUAAACAGUGCAUAGUGAACAGCCUUGCCCUCAGUUGCAGUUUGCCUGGCUAAUUACUUCCUUAGGGUGGAUUCCCAGGAAAAGAAUUACAGGGUCAAAGAGCGGGACUGUCUUUAAGACUCCAACCCUGUUGCCCAGCUCUGGCCUUGCUUUCCAGUCUCCCAUCUUCUUUCCCACACUGUCUUAAGUCAAUAGGAAGCGUACAGCCUUGGCCUCCCUCCACCCUGCCCACAUCUGCCUGUCUGUACCCCUGAGG
rnacentral:lncRNA from 1 species